rnacentral:tRNA from 1 species
GAUCCUCUGGCUCGGUUGGUUGAGCGUCAGUCUUGUAAUCUGAAGGUCACCAGUUCGAUACUGGCAGGGAACU